rnacentral:rRNA from 1 species
UAGAGUUUGAUCCUGGCUCACAUUGAACGCUGGCGGCAUGCUUUACACAUGCAAGUCGAACGGCAGCGCGGGGCAACCUGGCGGCGAGUGGCGAACGGGUGAGUAAUACNNNNNNNCGUACCCAGAAGUGGGGGAUAACGUAGCGAAAGUUACGCUAAUACCGCAUACGUUCUACGGAAGAAAGUGGGGGAUCUUCGGACCUCAUGCUUUUGGAGCGGCCGAUGUCUGAUUAGCUAGUUGGUGAGGUAAAGGCUCACCAAGGCGACGAUCAGUAGCUGGUCUGAGAGGACGACCAGCCACACUGGGACUGAGACACGGCCCAGACUCCUACGGGAGGCAGCAGUGGGGAAUUUUGGANNAUGGGCGCAAGCCUGAUCCAGCAAUGCCGCGUGAGUGAAGAAGGCCUUCGGGUUGUAAAGCUCUUUUGUCAGGGAAGAAACGGCUGGGGCUAAUAUCCCCGGCUAAUGACGGUACCUGAAGAAUAAGCACCGGCUAACUACGUGCCAGCAGCCGCGGUAAUACGUAGGGUGCAAGCGUUAAUCGGAAUUACUGGGCGUAAAGCGUGCGCAGGCGGUUUUGUAAGUCUGACGUGAAAUCCCCGGGCUCAACCUGGGAAUUGCGUUGGAGACUGCAAGGCUGGAGUCUGGCAGAGGGGGGUAGAAUUCCACGUGUAGCAGUGAAAUGCGUAGAGAUGUGGAGGAACACCGAUGGCGAAGGCAGCCCCCUGGGUCAAGACUGACGCUCAUGCA